ensembl:lncRNA novel transcript
GGGGAGGGUAGCGGUUACGCUGAGCGCCGGCGUUGCUGGUCCCCGACCCCUGGUACCCGGGCAUCGUUUUUUCAUCCCGGGCAGCUGGGACCCCGGGAUGACCUAAGGAACAAGGAUUCAGACGCAGACUCCACGGUGAAUUGGCCUUAUUCACGUGUGAACGAACGUCCAGGAGAAAACCAAACCCGAAUGGGCCAGGCUCUAACCAGAGGAGACCCCAAAACUGUGAUCUGCAUCAGAAAACGAACCAGCCAGCCGGUUCCCGGCUCUGCCAGGUCUAGGGGUGCUUUAUUCAAGCCCUGGGUUCGCUCCCUGGUCAGCAAGUAUGAGCCCACAGGUCGUGCUAGGAAGGAGACGGGACCAGAUAUUGACUGCUGGUUUAAAGUAUAUGCUAAUCCUACAGUCAUUCACUCAGCAACUCCUGAUGGCACCUGUUUUGCACCAGGCGCUGAGCUGAACCCUGGAAGCAGGAAGGAUUGCCAGAUAGUUGGGUGGCUGGGUUACCAUCAGGGAAAGAAUCCUGACUACUACAUUGAAGAUGGAAGCUCUUUAUACACUCAGAACCAUCAUGGACUGGGUAAGGGGGAGGCAGAGAAGAAAACAGAAUUGAAUAUUUCUAGAUCACGUAUUAUUGUGUGCUGUAGAAUAGAGCACAUAUUAAUGUAGGUUAAUUCAUUUAAUCCUCAAAAUGACUUUACUCAGCUAAAUUGAGGAACUUGCUAAGUGCCAUACAAUUAGUAAAUGGCAGAGUUAAGUUCAAACCAAGGACACUCUGCCUGCAAAGAUAUACUUGCUCUGCUCUGAUGUGCUGCCAUUAUCAUCAUCAUCUCCAUCAUCUGCCUCCUCACUGUUACCAUCACCAUCAUCUUCAGGAUGCUCCCUGAGGAUCUGGACCAUAGCGGUAGGAAGCUGAGCUUUCUAACUCAGAAAACAGACCUUCAAACAUAUAAGUAAAUGAGUGUGCAAAUAACUAUAGCAAGAAGUACAAAGUGAUCAGUACCACCAAAGAGGAGCAGAUAUCAUGUUGAGAAAGAUUACUUCCAUCUGAGGUAGACCUCUAGAAAUGGCUGAAGGAAAUCCAAAGACAGGAAGGAGUCUCAACAGAGGCAUUAGGGAUAGGAAUGUCAGAUCAUAAAAGAUUCAGUUUGCACAUUUACAACCUAAACUAAUAUAGUUCUGGUGCCCCAA